rnacentral:rRNA from 1 species
UACGUAGGGUGCGAGCGUUGUCCGGAAUUACUGGGCGUAAAGAGCUCGUAGGUGGUUUGUCGCGUUGUUCGUGAAAACUCACAGCUUAACUGUGGGCGUGCGGGCGAUACGGGCAGACUGGAGUACUGCAGGGGAGACUGGAAUUCCUGGUGUAGCGGUGGAAUGCGCAGAUAUCGGGAGGAACACCAGUGGCGAAGGCGACUACCUGGCCUGUUCUUGACGCUGAGGCGCGAAAGCUAGGGGAGCAAACGGG